GCCGCUGACCCUCUGCGACCCUCGGCCCGGGCCCGCCCCCGCUCUUCCCUUCCCAUCGCCUCUCUUUUAAUGAAAUGAAGAAGAGGGAAUGCUGGUUGGGCUGCAACGCCUUCCGCUCGGCACACAGGGCGGUGACAGAGACGCCCAACUGGCAGUGGCCUUGUCAGCACAUCAGUUAGGGGGGUUCCUUCCCAUGCCAUGGAUAAGCUGAUUAGACCACACAUCUUGGGAGAACUAAGGUUGAAGGUUGCCUGGCCGACAGGAGGAAAGGGCUGUGCCCCCACCACAUCAUUUGGCCUGGAGACCCCUAAACUGCAGUAUAUCCCCCAGUGGCUGAAGCGGGGAUCUGGACUGAGAAACUCAGAACUCCUUGGCAUCAUCAGAAGUUGUCUUCAACCCAAAAGAAAUCAAAGGUUUACAGUUCCUGAGUCGUCCGGGGCUCUUCCUUCCAACCAGUCAGCCAAGAAAAAAGGCCAAGAUGAAAGGCAGAAAAGUUCCACUCCCUAUGCUAAAGGUAAGUAAUUUCUAAGUCUUUAAGCAGAGGUCAGAUCCCCUACUCUCACUGGGCACCCUGCCAACACUAAAAAAAGGGCAUGUCAGCCUCUGAAAUCUACCCCGGAACAAGAGUAAUGUAGUGACUUGAAAUAAAAGCUUUUUUUUUUUCCAUUACUUGAGUUAGGAAAGAUGGAUGGUCUUUUCUUUCUCAGGUAGUCUCAUGCUGUAGCCUUUCUGUACCUGGACUCAGGUUGACCCUGAAUGAGGCUGUCCCAUUUAAAAGGCCCUUAACAAUCUAGCUCAACAAUUAUAAAUAGUAUACCUUUCAGGGAUGAAUUUCUUAACUGCGCAGAUCUUUCUAGAGUCAACCAGUAAUGGGGCCUUUCUCAAGAAGUAAGCCUCGUGGAUGGAAUCUGAUAGUUGAGGAUUUGUGAUAAAAAGGCAAGAUCACUGAAAUCCCCCAACUUUUUCUGAAUAGGCCUCUGAUCUCCAGAGUUCCAAUUUAGUCUUACCUGUUCUGUGUGUUAUGUUAUGAAAAUUUACUUUAGCUUUCAAUUCCCUAUCCUGCUGGGAAAGAUUGUUGGCAAGUAAAAAACGUUGCAGAUGAAAAGGAUUUUCUUUGUCCUGAGAAACUCACAUUAUUUAUAAGGGCAACAACCGAAAACAUUUUCCCCACUGGAGGAACUCAGUGUCACAUUAAUGUAGCAGCAAAGGAAUCCUGGCGUCGAAUUAGGGAAGUGAAGUCAGUAAUAAUUGUGGUAUUGGUUAAGCACUUAAUAUGGGCCAAGCAAUAUUCUCAGUGCCAGGGUAGAGUCAAGAUAAUCAGGUAGGUCACAGUCCUUGUCCCGACUGGGGCUCACAGUCUAAGUAGGAGAAGUAAUGGUAUUUAAUUCCCAUUUCAUAGGGAAGGAAACUGAGGUAUAG
rnacentral:lncRNA from 1 species